UAACGAAUCUUCCGCAAUGCACGAAAGUGUGACGGGGCAAUGCCGCGUGUGGGAUGAAGCCCUUCGGGGUGUAAACUACUGUCAGGGACUACCAACAACAUGAGGAGUCCCAAAGGAAGAGCCGGCUAACUCUGUGCCAGCAGCCGCGGUAAUACAGAGGGCUCGAGCGUUAAUCGGAAUCACUGGGCUUAAAGCGUGCGUAGGCGGAUUUGAAGGCGCUUUGUGAAAUCCCUCGGCUCAACCGAGGAACUGCUUGGCGAACCACAAAUCUUGAGGCUGGUAGAGGUGGUCGGAACAAUAGGUGGAGCGGUGAAAUGCGUAGAUAUCUAUUGGAACACCGAAGGUGAAGACAGGCCACUGGGCCAGUCCUGACGCUGAGGCACGAAAGCGUGGGUAGCAAACGGGAUUAGAUACCCCGGUAGUCCACGCCGUAAACGAUGCGCACUUGGUCGAGGGGGUUGAACGCCUUCUCGGCCGUAGGAAACUGAUUAGUGCGCCGCCUGGGGAGUACGGUCGCAAGAUUA
rnacentral:rRNA from 1 species